rnacentral:miRNA from 1 species
CGGGAGCGUCGAGACUGGAGC